UGGGGAAUAUUGCACAAUGGGCGCAAGCCUGAUGCAGCCAUGCCGCGUGUAUGAAGAAGGCCUUCGGGUUGUAAAGUACUUUCAGCGAGGAGGAAGGCGUUGUGGUUAAUAACCGCAACGAUUGACGUUACUCGCAGAAGAAGCACCGGCUAACUCCGUGCCAGCAGCCGCGGUAAUACGGAGGGGGCAAGCGUUAAUCGGAUUUACUGGGCGUAAAGCGCACGCAGGCGGUCUGUCAAGUCGGAUGUGAAAUCCCCGGGCUCAACCUGGGAACUGCAUCCGAAACUGGCAGGCUAGAGUCUUGUAGAGGGGGGUAGAAUUCCAGGUGUAGCGGUGAAAUGCGUAGAGAUCUGGAGGAAUACCGGUGGCGAAGGCGGCCCCCUGGACAAAGACUGACGCUCAGGUGCGAAAGCGUGGGGAGCAAACA
rnacentral:rRNA from 1 species